ensembl:lncRNA
AUGGCUGAUCCUCUGCGGAGGACUUUACUAGCGAAACUCCGGGGGAAGAAAUCCAAGAAAGCAGCGACUGUCGGCGGAUACCGCUCUGCGGCGGCGGAUGGGGGCCGAGAAGGUAAAGAAAAAGUUUCGCAAACGCAGGUCGACGCGGCUCGCGCGGCGGUCCGGCUCGCGGGGCCGGACCGCGCGGCGGACAGAAUGAGCACGUACGAGAAUUGUGCCGGCGGGGCGGCGGUGCGAGCGGAGGCGGUCGUUCUAGUCCGGCGGGGCCCCCGCGGAGAGAUAGCGUCCGGCGCACGUCCCCAGGAGCCGGGCAGCGGGGGCAGGGUCGGGGUUAACGAGCAGCUCCCGGGGGUCUCGCUUCAAAGAGACGCGCGCUUCGCGGUGGGCGGCGAGUGCGCGCGGGCAGACGGGAGCCACCGGGGGCCCGGGGGCCCCGACGAACGCGCGCCGUGUGCGCGGGGAAUCGCGCUCGCGGGACCGCGUGUCCAGGGGAGACACCGCGCCCCGGAGCCGUGGCAGUGCAGCGUCGGGGACUCGAUCGGCUUCGGGGGCGCUUCGAACCGCGCUCCGCACCGGGCGCCGGUGGAGCCGCGUGCCGGGCUCGGCAAAGCCCCGGAGGACGCUGAUGGCGAGGCGACGGAGCCCGUCGGCCGCCGGCGCAUGGCAGGCUGCGCGGCGGCGGCGGCCGGCGGUGGACGCAACGCCAACCGGAGCGGGGAUGACAAUCAGACUUCCGGGACGAACUCGCUCGUUCGCGCCGAACUUGUGCACCCGAGCUGCUCGGAAGAAAACAGCGUGAUCAGGAGCGUUGAGAGUUACGGGCCCGAGUGCGCGGGGGACCCCAGGGGGCCCGCGGGCGGUCUGCAGAGCCCGACCUUCUUCCCGACAGAGUUAGAAAUAUGCGACCUAAACGUGGCACCCCUCUGCGCCACACAGGGGCCGCCGAGAUACACUUCAGAUAGUGAAGAUGAGGAUUAUUAUGAUAACGAAAUCCUGCCUUUCUAUGAAACGAUCAGAGCAAAAGGUGAUGGAGAUGGAGAUGCCGCAGAGCAGCCGCGGCUCGAUGGGGACAAUGAACAGCUCGAUGUUAGUAGCAGCUCUCAGGAAACAGACCGGCUCAGGAACCGGCUGAAAGAAGCCUAUUACCUUCUUAUCAAUGCUAUGAACGAUAUCAACCUGGACGUCCAGCAGGUGAGUGGUGGUUUAACCGAGCAAGGGGCCACCUCCUCCUGUAGUAGCCACUCCAGGGACAGCCUGUGCUCCAGGUUGUCUGCCAAGAACAUGGACAGUGACUCCUGGUCGUCGGGAGGCGACAACAGCCCCCAACAGGUGUCGGACACCGACUCGCUGCUGCUUUGCCUCAGCGGCGGCCCGGAAUCAGGCCUCAGGGGUAGGCUGACCAGCAAGAGCAUGGUAACCCUGUCCUUGACCGAGAGAAGACCCGCGUUACGGCGCUCUGCUAGUGACGGAGCGGUCCGGCGUGCAGGUGGACCCUCACUCUGUAUUCAGAACCCCAAAGGUCUAGACACCAGUGCCGAUAAAGGGGCCACGGAGGCAAAAGACGCGGCGUGGGUCGAGGCCUCGGGGGCGGGGGAGCCGUCAGCAUCUCCGGUGCUUUGCAACGCCAACGGCAGUGACGAGCUGCUGCGAGACGCCGGCGGUGGCGAAGACCGCGGCGGGCGGCUGGACGAGAGCAGCGGCUCAGCCGACAGCCUCACGGGUUCUUCAGACAGCAACGCUGAUGCGCCAACCAAUCGGGGUCAGGCCAACCAUCGGGAGCCGACUGACGUGCGAGCACAGGGGGCCCGAUCCGUCAACAAGGGGCACGGCGUCACCGUCAACAAGAUGCAAGAGUGGAUGCACCGGGGCCGCCUGUUGUCCUCUGAGAUGAAGCAACGCAUCGAGGGCUCGUCGUCGCCCCGCGGCGGAGGCCGAAGCCAGGACAGGCCCUGUCCCCAGGGCAACCUCGGCAUGUCUAAAGCGGGGGUCCAGACAUCCAACCGAGGGGUCAAAUCUGUCAAGGCCAAAUCCCCGCAGCAGCAGCAGCCAGCUUUCAUUGAGAAUGUCCAAACCUCAUGUGCUAAUGGCCGUGAGGUGGGCAGGGCCAGUGAGUCGUCGCCACGGCGACCACCGCUCACCACCAUCACCGUCUCCAAGAAGCGCAACUGGCUGCAGCAGAGCUCCCUCGGGAAGAACCACUGCACCAAGGACGAGCUGCUGGGAAUGCUGGGAGCUGAGGAGGAGGGCUCCCAUCAGCCGCCGACCCCUCCCAGUCCCUCCCCAGACCACUUGAGACCUUCAGCACGGCCAGCCUGCCUGCAACUGCCUCAGGUUAGCCUCAAGGCUUCUCUGUUGGCAACACGUUUGGGAAAUUCGCUUUCCUGUGGUUGA